UUCCCCGCCUUUCAAUAAGCUUCACGUGCAGAGCGAAAACCGACCUUGCCCCACCCCAGCAGCAGCCGGGAUCCGCUGGGAUUGAUUGGGAUGGAUGGUGGGGAUCCACUGGGAUCCACUGGGAUCACUGGGAUCGAUGAGAGUGAGUGGGAUGGGUGGUGGGGAUCCACAGGCACCAUUGGGAUCCACUGGGAUGGAGGGUGGGGAUCCACAGGGACCACUGGGAUCCACUGGAAGUGACUGGGAUGGAUGGUGGGGAUCCAUGGGGAUCCACUGGGAGUGACUGGGAUGGUUGGUGGGGAUCCACAGGGACCAUUGGGAUCCACUGGGAGUGACUGGGAUGGAUGGUGGGGAUCCAUGGGGAUCCACUGGGAGUGACUGGGAUGGAUGGUGGGGAUCCACUGGGAUAACUGGGAUCCACUGGGAUCAAUGAGAUUGACUGGGAUGGAUGGUGGGGAUCCACUGGGAUAACUGAUAUCCACUGGGAUUGAUGGUGGGGAUCCACUGGGAGUGACCGGGAUGGUUGGUGGGGAUCCACGGGGAUCCACUGGGAGUGACUGGGAUGGAUGGUGGGGAUCCACUGGGAUGGAGGGUGGGGAUCCAGUGGGAUCACUGGGAUCCACUGGGAGUGACUGGGAUGGAUGGUGGGGAUCACUGGGAUCCACUGGGAGUGACUGGGAUGGAUGGUGGGGAUCACUGGGAUCCACGGGGAUCACUGGGAUGGAGGGUGGGGAUCACUGGGAUCCCUGGGGAUCACUGGGAUCCAUGGGGAUCCCUGGGACGGAGGGUGGGGAUCCACAGGGAUCACUGGGAUGGAGGGUGGGGAUCCACGGGGAUCACUGGGAUCCACUGGGACGGAUGAUGGGGAUCCACAGGGAUCCACAGGGAUCAUGGGGAUCCCUGGGACGGAGGGUGGGGAUGUCCCCCACGGUCCCGGGGAGGAGCCGCGUCCUCGUGGCCUCGCUCCGUCACCUGCAACACAGAGAGGCGGCCCAGCUGAGUGCCCGGC
rnacentral:lncRNA from 1 species